GUCGAACGCUGGCGGCAUGCUUUACACAUGCAAGUCGAACGAGUGGCGCACGGGUGAGUAAUAUAUCGGAACGUGUCCUAUCGUAGGGGAUAACUGAUCGAAAGAUCAGCUAAUACCGCAUACGAUUAGAGCGGCCGAUGUCCGAUUAGCUAGUUGGUGGGGUAAAGGCUCACCAAGGCGACGAUCGGUAGCUGGUCUGAGAGGAUGACCAGCCACACCGGAACGGAGACACGGUCCAGACGCCUACGGGAGGCAGCAGUGGGGAAUUUUGGACAAGGGGCGCAACCCUGAUGCAGCCAUGCCGCGUGUGUGAUGAAGGUCUUCGGGUUGUAAAGUGCUUUUAGCGGGGAAGCGGUACCUGAAGAAUAAGCACCGGCUAACUCCGUGCCAGCAGCCGCGGUAAUAC
rnacentral:rRNA from 1 species